rnacentral:rRNA from 1 species
CCUACGGGUGGCAGCAGUGGGGAAUAUUGGACAAUGGGCGAAAGCCUGAUCCAGCCAUGCCGCGUGUGUGAAGAAGGCCUUCGGGUUGUAAAGCACUUUCAGUGGGGAAGAAAGCCUUGGGGCUAAUACCCUCGAGGAAGGACAUCACCCACAGAAGAAGCACCGGCUAACUCCGUGCCAGCAGCCGCGGUAAUACGGAGGGUGCGAGCGUUAAUCGGAAUUACUGGGCGUAAAGCGCGCGUAGGCGGUCUGAUAAGCCGGUUGUGAAAGCCCCGGGCUCAACCUGGGAACGGCAUCCGGAACUGUCAGGCUAGUGUGCAGGAGAGGAAGGUAGAAUUCCCGGUGUAGCGGUGAAAUGCGUAGAGAUCGGGAGGAAUACCAGUGGCGAAGGCGGCCUUCUGGACUGACACUGACGCUGAGGUGCGAAAGCGUGGGUAGCAAACAGGAUUAGAUACCCCGGUAGUC